AUUGAACGCUGGCGGCAUGCUCUACACAUGCAAGUCGAACGGUAACAGGCCGCAAGGUGCUGACGAGUGGCGAACGGGUGAGUAAUGCAUCGGAACGUGCCCAGUCGUGGGGGAUAACUACUCGAAAGAGUAGCUAAUACCGCAUACGAUCUAUGGAUGAAAGCGGGGGACCGUAAGGCCUCGCGCGAUUUGAGCGGCCGCUGUCAGAUUAGGUAGUUGGUCGGGUAAAGGCUCACCAAGCCAACGAUCUGUAGCUGGUCUGAGAGGACGACCAGCCACACUGGGACUGAGACACGGCCCAGACUCCUACGGGAGGCAGCAGUGGGGAAUUUUGGACAAUGGGCGCAAGCCUGAUCCAGCAAUGCCGCGUGAAGGAAGAAGGCCUUCGGGUUGUAAACUGCUUUUGUACGGAACGAAACGGCUCUGGUUAAUACCCGGGGCUAAUGACGGUACCGUAAGAAUAAGCACCGGCUAACUACGUG
rnacentral:rRNA from 1 species